rnacentral:lncRNA from 1 species
UAAAACAAGCCUAACAAAAUUGGUUUCACUAAUUUUGGACACUCCUACAAAUUUCUGCGAUUAAAAUGGUGUAAAAUGAAUUUAAACGAAUUAUUUUGCUAAAGGAAAUCUAAUUUUUCCCGAAAAUCACCCGAAAUACUUUUAUUACUCACCCACUCUCUACCCUCUCUCACGAACACUGGGCCCCACGGCGCGGACCCCACCUCGCCUAUUCCUUCUACCCGCCAGCGCUAUUCCUCCCCCCGACGGGCCCCGCGGGCCGAUUUUCUUUUUCUUCUUUCUUCUGCGGCCCAAUACCGGCCCACGGCCUUCUUUCCUUUUUCUUCUUU